rnacentral:rRNA from 1 species
AUGGUGAACCACAAGGUGGAGGAAUGCCCAGUCAGGAAAAAGCCAAGGAACACUGCCAAGUUUGUGGGCAGUGCUGCUACAGGUUUAGGGUUCUUCCAAAUUGAGGUACCAGAUGUCAAUGAUCAGCAUUUGGGGACAGGCAAGAAUGUAGGGAUUGUUUACAUAGAAGCUGGGCAAGUUACUAAAGAGGAACUGGCACACAACUUCUCUUUGAUCUAUAAGACCAAUUGGCCUUGGCAGGUCAGGAAAUUAGACAACUGGACAUACCUAGUGAAGUUCCCCCCACAUAUUCCAGUAGCUCAAGUAGCUGGCUACCCAAACUUUGGACUGCCAGAGAUGGAAGGGGUUACUGUUAAUGUUGAAGAAUGGAAGGGGGAACUAGAGCACCUUGUUGAAUUGCAAACAGUCAGGCUGCAGCUGACAGGAGUAGCCCCAAAAUGGGCUAAAUGGUCUGUACUAGAACAGUUCAUCUCUGUAGUGGGCACUUUGGUUGAUGUAGACUGGCAAGGGAAUUUCAAAUCCUUUUUUGAGGUAGUCAGAGUUCAGAUCAGGUGCAAGGAUUACACCAAAAUACCAACCAGCAGGGUCUUUGGCAUUGGUAAGAAACUUUACAAGAUAGGUAUCACUGUGGAGCCUCCUGUGGAAGAAGAGCUUAGUGAUGAUCUGCUAGAUGACAUUACUGAGAAAGAUGAUGACACUGUAACCAACAAAGACACUUCUGCUGCUGGUGGGACAAGCAACAAUGGUGGAUCUGUUAGUAAAAGUAGCUCUGCUGGGGCAACACAUGAAUAA